AACAAUCUAGUCAUAGGGAGCCAAUAACAAGUAACUUUUGGAUAAUAUUAUAGUUCAUCACGACUCAAUUGCUACACAGAGUAGUAAAAAACAGAAACAAAAACAAAUAUAAAUAACAAAUAAUGAAUACGAAAUAAAAGUACCUUUUUUUUUUAAUAAAUAAUCCAUAAAUAUAUUCAUGUGACAAUCACCACUGCACUUUUGGAUAAUGCCUGUAAUUGCGAGCAAAGCUUCUGGCAUUCUUCUUCAUCCAACAAUUCCAUUUGCUCAUUAGCAGUUUUUGAGCAGUCAAAAUGGUGUCUUGCUUUUUGUUUGAUAGCCAUCCGCUUAAGGCUUGGAGCAUGAUUCAGCAAACAAAUUGCUAACACAGUCUGAUUUGAUGUAUGAAAACCACAAAUUUCAAAGCGUUUCAGAUAUUUAUGAACAUGAUCACCGAGGCCAGGACCCUCUGAUUCACUCUCUAAAGGACAACAUGCCUGCAGUUACAACAAGAUAAAUAAAUGAAAAAAUAAAACCUCAAGAAAAAUAAAUCUCUUUUUAACUUUUAACACAAUGGUUACUGCUGCAGCUGCUGCAACCAAGAAGCUCAGCAUUAUUAUUCUAAAUUAAUUAACAGCAACUCCAAUACUUUAAACCUCUAAUACUCUCUCUUCAUUUUGCGCAUGCAUAUAAAAUAUUCCUAAGUUGCAAAUAUAGUAAGAGCAUAAGAGGAUAACCGAAUCACUCACCGAUAACUCAAGCUUGCACAGAUUGGGAAAGACUCUAAGGAUGGAAACCAUCUUCAAGGUGUCAAACUUUCUAGGUUUUCGAAAAUCCAGCUUUAAUUCCACAACCAUUGAGAAGGUAGACAUCCUCUCCGGUACAAAUUUACCCUACAUGCAGAAAUAGCGCUUUCUGUUGAAAAGAAUUUAAGAUUCUCACACAUGCUAUUACAUUUAUGCAAAACACGGAUAUUGACCUAGUCUAUGUCAAAAUGGUUUAUUGGCGCCUCAAAUAUUUCAACUCUUAUAUUUUUAUAUUUUUACUUUUUUUUUUAUAGUAAAGGAGUUUAAGAAUCAAGUUAACGUACCUAGAGAAUGUCUCAAUAAACAAAAAAAUACUAGCUUAGAUGCGUAUUGAUCCCAGAAAAAUUUGUGCUGCCAAUAUACCAUUUCAAUAAAAUUGAGGUGCAUAUUUAAGUACAUGUGUGCUUGUGUGUUUCUUUUUGCAAAUCCACAUACCCAAUCCUCAUCUGCGUAAAUCUGUAAAACCCUCAAAUCAAGAAGAAGUCUUGGAAGAUCGGUCAAUAUAUAGUGCAGUGACUGCAGUCCUCUUUUAUGUGCAUAAUAACCAAGAAUCUUUAAAUUAGGAGCUCCACUUAAAUUAAGCUUAAGCGAUCGAUGAGACUUGAGCUGAAAGUUCAAGAGAUUCACAUUAAAUAGCUGAACAUUCUUAAUCCCACGACAAGAUAAAGGGUGAAGAUCUUCAGACGAAGCAACGAGCCAAGGGAUAAUUUUGAAGGGAGCCUACAAUUCAUAAAGCACAAAUUUUGAAGCUUCACCGAACAGGAAAACAUGCCAUGUAAAUUGGACAAUGGGUAUAUAAAUCAAACAAAGAGUCUGCAAGCUGGCAAAUUGGUUGGUAGAAAAGUUUAGUCCUAAACUACAGCCUACUAAUCGCCGAUGCUUCAACUUGUUUUCCACACUUUCAAAAAGCUCUGAACGAAAAACAUACUUCCCCACAUUUUCAAUGCUGUGCAUGCCAUUGGGAUUCUUGUAACACUGUCUUCCUAGACAAAUAAGGCCAACAAAGAGGUUCUCAACAGCCAUCAGAAUAGCAAAACUGAUCCAUCGAUCAAUAUCAUCAGAAUGAUUAUCGCCAAGACAGAAACUGACUUUAAAGGACAUUAUAUUUUGUGUACCCUGAAUCAAAUAAUGUUAAGGAAAUUGAUUAACUCCUCCAACAAAUUUGUUAUGUAUCCACUGCAAAGGGAUCUCAAGAUAAGUGAAUAAUUUUCACCAGCUGAGAACAUGUUAACCUUAUCAAAAAUAAGACCAGACUGGGAUGAGCUGAGGCAUUUCCAUCUGUGUGAUAAUGUUCUUGUUUUGACAGCAUCCCUCAGUGACAGUUUAGAGAUUACAUAACACAGAAUGUCUGUCGGUAAUUGGCUGAUGUGAUCCAUUGUAGUGGUACCUACACACUUAGAGGUUUUACACUGCUGUAACAUCAUUGACAACAAAAGGUAGCAGCAAAUUGAGUCCAAGUGCCAGAGAAUAUCAGGUAAGAUUUCUCCAAUUUUAGUGGAGGAUUUCCCCAGAUUUCACCGUUGCCCCACUAUCCACGGCUCUGACAAGGACAAGUUGAAAGAGGUUACCACGCACACUAGACAGACAAAGGAGGGCUGAACUAUUAAUUAAGACUAAGAUGCGGUAGGCACGAAAGCAAAGGGCGACGCUCUAUGAAGCACAAGCACAGCAACGCAAUGAGAGGCAGGAACGAAAUAGGAUAGCAGAUCACCAGGUACAGUCACGAAAUUAAG
rnacentral:misc_RNA from 1 species